GACGAACGCUGGCGGCGUGCUUAACACAUGCAAGUCGAACGGAAAGGCCCUGCUUUUGUGGGGUGCUCGAGUGGCGAACGGGUGAGUAACACGUGAGUAACCUGCCCUUGACUUUGGGAUAACUUCAGGAAACUGGGGCUAAUACCGGAUAGGAGCUCCUGCUGCAUGGUGGGGGUUGGAAAGUUUCGGCGGUUGGGGAUGGACUCGCGGCUUAUCAGCUUGUUGGUGGGGUAGUGGCUUACCAAGGCUUUGACGGGUAGCCGGCCUGAGAGGGUGACCGGCCACAUUGGGACUGAGAUACGGCCCAGACGCCUACGGGAGGCAGCAGUGGGGAGUAUUGCACAAUGGGCGGAAGCCUGAUGCAGCAGCGCCGCGUGCGGGAUGACGGCCUUCGGGUUGUAAACCGCUUUCGCCUGUGACGAAGCGUGAGUGACGGUAAUGGGUAAAGAAGCACCGGCUAACUACGUG
rnacentral:rRNA from 1 species